UACAGAGGUCCCGAGCGUUGUUCGGAUUCACUGGGCGUAAAGGGUGCGUAGGUGGCGUGGUAAGUUUGAUGUGAAAGCUCAGGGCUUAACCCUGAAAUGGCAUUGAAUACUACUAUGCUGGAGGUUUGGAGGGGGGACUGGAAUUCUUGGUGUAGCAGUGAAAUGCGUAGAUAUCAAGAGGAACACCAGUGGCGAAGGCGAGUCCCUGGACAGCACCUGACACUGAGGCACGAAAGCUAGGGGAGCAAACAGG
rnacentral:rRNA from 1 species